rnacentral:lncRNA from 1 species
CGGCACUGGCAGAUUGAGUUGCUGACCAUUUCACUUUCUUCUCUGCUUGAAAUUUUUUCAUUCGGCAAACAUGGUAAGAACACAAUCAACAAAAAUGUCUCGAAGACUGGUCCUAUGUGUGGCAACCUUACUCAGUUUAGCGUUGUGGCAGAUGCAAAUUUUCCAUGCAGAGGCGGCUUACACCCCUGUUUACGAUCAACAAGCCCCAUUGAAAUUCGGAAGAAGAGGUCUAAAUCCCAAUGUUAACAGUCUAUUUUUCGGCAAACGAGGAGCGAUGGCGGAUGAGUUGAGUCACAUUGAUCUCGGCAGACGAUGUAUGGCUGCCAUGUCGGUGUGUAAUAUAUUCUUUGAGUCGAAAUCAGAAAAUAAGAGAUAAAACUUUAUAUCAUCAUCUUCGAAACAACAAAUAACAAAAACAACAAUUAACUAUAACAACAAAUAAAAUAAACAAUAUAAACAAAGGUCUUAAAUUUUCAGAUAACCAUGAUAUU